CUCUGGUUCGUGACUGGUGGGAGCUCAGGAUUUGGAUUGUCAUUGCUUCCCAAACAAAUCAGUUUGGUUCCAACUGAACCCAAAAAAGAAUCUGGAAUUGCCAUUCCUGUUCCUUCACAGCAAAGGUGGGGAAACUGAGGCACACAGAGUAAAUAAUUUGUUCAAGACUCACAGAGAGAGUCAGUAAAAGAGCUCCUGACUGGCAGAGAACAGCCAGAGGUAGUUAACCAAUCAAGUUGAAUAUACAAAGAAUGCAUUAUGGUGGUUACAUUUCAGUGAAAGCAAUUAUUCAUUUCUUUCUAAUGUCUUAAGUCAUUUCCCUUUUACACUAUAAAGUUGCACUUUUGCAUUUAAUUCAUGACGACCGUGGAUAGAUUUUCACUUAAGAUGUUCAGAAUGUAUGUAAUGAUUCAUAUAUCUCUUUCAAUAAAAAUGGUAAGUUAUAGUC